rnacentral:tRNA from 1 species
UAAAUGAGACCCUAUGCAAAAAUAAAUAAUAAAUAAAUAAAUAAAGUUUUAGCUCUAGGUCCACUGAAUGCAUGUGUAAGAGUUUCCAUUUGGGCUUAAGGAACUUGUGCAAGACUUGGUCCUUUUUCAUCAUGGUUUCUGGAACAGCUCAGAAAAUGCAGUUCAUAAGUCCCUAGCUUUUGAAUAGUUCCAGUUAAAAUAUGUGAGGCAGUGAGGAAGCUGUGCAAAUUGGGCUCCUGAUAGAAAACCCCCAAGAGGGCAGUGGGAUGAACAGAAAGGAUGUAACAUUUGUGUGUGUCCCUGUGGCUCUGUGUGAGUGUGUGUUCUUCAGUUUUGUGGGGCCAGAGUUUGAUGUUGUUAGUCUUCCCAGACAUUCUCUACCUUAUUUUUUAAAUCAGGCUGUCUAUCUGGAAUCCGCCUUUCUCUGCCUGCCCAGUGCUGAGAUUACAAAAGUACACCAGGCUGUGCCUGGCUCCGUAUGUUGGUGCUGUGGAUUGACUGUUGUUCCUUAGGCUUUCUUAGCAAAGAAACCUGACCUGACCAAGCCAUAUCCCCAGCUCCAAGGACGUAAUAUUUUUGUUUCUUCAGAUUAGCAUAGAGUAUACCCAAAGCCCCCCGAGAACGGUGUGGGGCUUGGCUAAGCUUAGAUGUACAAGUGAGUGAAAGGUGGUCCUGGGGUUGGUGGGAACUUCCUGAUUGUUAGAGGCAGGUACAGCAGCACUGGGUCCCCUUUGGUGCAGAUAGCCCUUGUUUCUUCAUUUAGAAGUGCAGGGUUGUAGCACACAAAAAGGAUAAUAACCCAGACCUCGAGUUUCACAGAAAACAAGAGAUUCCCAAAAUUGCCAAUUUUUUCCCCAGGCCAUAGUUUAGAGGUGCUGUCUUAUGGUUGCUGUUGAGAAGCAACUUGAAAGGGUCCUGUGAUCUCUACAAUGUGGAUGAUUCCCUCUGACCCAUCUAAAGUUUGCUUCACACAUUCAGGCAUUAGCAUCUAAAAAGGCUUGUUCUGUUUUAUAAAGGUUGAAAGGCUUUGUAUGACUUUACACAAAAUGAGUUCCUUAGAUGUGACAGAGAGAUGAAGGUGGGGUUCAAAGAGCACAUAGCCUCGAUAAUCCACGGGUACUGAUUAUCACCCAAAGGAUCCAUCUUUCAGGUUGUCUAGGAAGGGGGACAAGAUGGCUCAUCAGUUAGUGUAUAAUGUCACUCCUGCCCUCGGGUGGUCUUGUCUCAGAUUCAUAGUGUUGGUGGUUUUCUCCUUAGGGCCUCUUCUGUGUAGCUGGUAAGGGUUCAACAAACACCAAGGCCACGAACUCUUGCAUUUGGAUCAAAAGUUAACUUGGGACAAACAAACCUUUAUCAGUAGUGUGUAUAUGUGUCUCCACCAUGCGGUGUGCAGGCAUGAGGCGGUCAUAGGAUAACUAUGGACUCAGCUCUCUCCUUCCGUCUUCACGUGAGUUCUAGGGAUCAAGCUCAGUUCAUUGGUUCUGCAUGUGUGAGUAUGUGCAUGUGAGUGUAGAGGGCUGCAGAGGCCAGAGGUGUCAGAUGCCCUGGCGCUAGAGUUACAGGUGGUUUUAAGUCACCUGAUGUGGGCCCUGGGGAUCGAGCUUAGGUCCUCUGCAAGAGCAUUGUGUGUUCUUACUGGCUGAGCCAUCUCCCAGACAGAAGAUGAGUCCUUAUGGGUGAAUAAGGGCUGCUGCCGUCCUGAGUCUGCCUCUUACUGUCUGUAAGCUACUUCAGACUGUGAAUUAUAGAAAAAGACUGCUCUGACCCAGAGAGAAGCAAAUUCUCUGGAUGUAUUAUUACUCAGUGACAGACUUAAUUCAACUAUUAAUAAUUGGAUUUUAGAACUCUGUUCUUGGUGACUUUGGGAGUCCCAGAGUCGCACACCUUGUUCUCCUCACUGAGCUAAGGAAGAUGCUGGCUACAAGUUCAUUCUGCAUUUAUUUUAAACACAUGGCUGCACUUGUAUCUCUGUUGUCACUGAGGCCUUUGCUUCUCUAGUGUUCCAGGUUUUAUUAACUGGGAACUGAAUCCUCUGUGUAUGAUGUUGGGAAUCUUCCUCUAUCUUUUUGCUGGUGCUUAAAACUUUACUCAGAGACACAUCAUAAGGUCCUGUCUUGAUAUCAAUGCUUUCACUUUGCUUUUUCAAAUGACAACUUUUAAAAGUCAAGGUCUCAUGUGGUUCAGGCUAUAGAGCUGAGUGUAAUCUUGAAUCCCCAGUCACCCUCCCUCCGUUUGUUCAUUGCUAGUAUUACAGGAGCACCACCAUGCUUGGUUUUGAGUGCUGGAGAUUGAAUGUUGGUUUCUCUCACGCUAGGCAAGCCCAGUGCUUAAAACAAAAUGCUGCAUAGCUCCAAAUCGUGCUUUUUCUUACCCCAUCACUUCUUCCUGUCUAGUGUUAAUCAGGCCAGUGUGUAUUCAAGGGCUAAAAUCGUAUCUGAGGUAUUCACACUGGCUCUUGGUACAUCAAUGGUGGUUGUCUCUUCUCUUAGACAAGGCACCACGGAACUUGACUUACAGCAUGUUCAGUGAAAUGAACCUGGUGAACCAUUUGCUCUGCAUUGACACAGAAGUGCCUUCAUAUUUCCUGUGUCCACUUCAAUGUGACCAAGGAGACUGAAUACUCUUUUCUGCUUUGACAGACACCCACAUAACAACUUUUUUUAAAAGAAAGUUGUAAAUUUCUUUACAGUCAUGAUCGAGAAUGCUUAUAAACAGCUUUAUUGAAAUAAGUCAUAUAUCAUCGCCAUAUAAAACUUGAACUUAAAUUGCUUUUUGUACAUCUUAGAGGAAAGUAACCAUCACCACAAACCUGUUUCAGAGCAAUUGCCACUCACUCCAGGAUGAGAGGCUCUUUUCUGUGGCAGUCACUGUAUCUCACUCUAGUCUCAUCCUAUUACCUCCCACCCCACCCCACCCCCCUUUUUUAAACAGAUUUGCUCAUUCUUGAAAUGUCCUAAAACUGGGACCAUGAAACAUGUGAACUACUGUGACUGUCUCUUUUCUCAGCAGAAUGUUCUUGCUGUGCAACCCACGAUGCACUGCAUGCCUUUGGCCCAUUGCAGAAUGUGCACACCACAUUUUGGUUGGCUUCUGGGACACACUCUUGUGACUUUGAUGGGCAACGCUGCUGUGACCAAGUGCACAUAGCUAAGACGCCUGUGCUUUCCUUUCUCUGAGGUAUACAUGCUCAGAAGUAAAAUGGCUGGACCAUGUGGCUAUACUAUAUAAUGCUUCCAAGUAACUUCGAAGUAACGUUCCUGAAGUGACUACCUGAUUUUACACACACACACACACACACACACACACACACACACACACACACACAAUAUCAAUCUAUCUAUCUAUCUAUCUAUCUAUCUAUCUAUCUAUCUAUCUAUCUCUUUCUUUUACUUUUUUUUUUAAAGACAGGAUUUUCCCAUAGCUGGACUUUGCCUAAUAGACAAGGCUCUAUGGGCAGAAAGCUCCCAGGAUCCACCUGUCUUUAUUCCCAGCACUAGAAUUACAGAUGUAUAACACCACACCUGGUCUUUAUACACAGGUUCUGAAGAUCAAACAACUUCUUCUUUUUGCAAAUUAGGAAAAGCUCCCCCCCCCCCCCCGGAGCUGGGGACCGAACCCAGGGCCUUGUGCUUCCUAGGCACACGCUCUACCACUGAGCUAAAUUCCCAACCCCCAAACAACUUCUUAAAUUAUCACAGGAAGCACUUUGUCAACUGAGCCGUGUCCCAAAUCCUCAUUUGACAUUUGGUUAUUCUGGGUGGGUGAGGACUUUGGCUUCUUUAUAUCCUUGACAGUCCUGCUUGGCGUCUACCUUUUGUCUAUCAGUUGUCCUCUAACUGUGAUUUUGGUUCCCAUGUUUUUUAAUUACCUGCAGUCACCUGGCAUCAUGUCCCAAUGUACUGCUGACAUGUUCUUGGUCUCUCACAGUAUCUUCUGUACAUCUCAUUCAGGCAUUGUAAAUUCUCUGAUGACAGGCUGGCUGAACAUGCCACAUUCACAGACAUUCAGAACAGUAGAUUGCCAGUCUGGGUGUUUAUGUGAUGGCUAAUCUCCAUUGUUACUGGACUUAGUUUGCUGCUUUAGAGGCUACUUGUAGAGAAGGGUGAAUCCACCUCGAAUGUGGGUAGAAACUGCUGACAGGCAUUGGUCUUUGAAUAAAUAGGGGGAAGUGAGCUGCACCCCAGCUGCAGAUACAUGCCAGGAAGCCGCCUCCUCUCUCUUGUCUUUGUACCUUUCCUCUGUCAUGAUGGACUGAAACCCUGAAUGGUGAGCCAGAAAUAAAUCAAUCCUUCCUUCCUUCCUUCCUUUCUUCCUUCCUUCCUUCCUUCCUUCCUUCCUUCGUUUGCUUUGCCAGGUAUUUUCUCACAGCAACCAGAAGAACGACUGUGUUGCUGUGUAGAGGAGGCACAGGACACAGAAGUCAAUCGUACCUGAGGUUUCCUCCACCCCUGCAGUCUGUAGGGGAGGCUGCAGUAAGGGUGAUGCUGGAACAGCAGUCCUGGUGGGAGUGGGCUGGUCUCUCGGUGUGAGGUGUAUUUGUGAGGGCUUUUGCGUUCAUUGUUAUUUUUGUCCUUGCUUUUAGUCUUUUCUAUCCUGGUAAGGACAGGGUGAGAUCCACUAGAUGAACACUUUGGGGAGCUGCACAACGUUGCUGCUGUUCGCUGGACAUGAUUGUUUUCUUGCAUGAUUGGGAUUCUGUCCAUUCACUACUAACUCCAUCCCUGACUCCUGCCAAGCAGAAUUCUCUCUGUAUUUUUUCCCUUGACUGUUUUAGAAGCCCAUCCAUGUUGGGUCACAGCAUUGGUCUUCUCCUGGAUCCCUGAAGAGUGGUGAAAUACAGCCUGAAUGUUCUACUUGUGCAUGAGGGCUGGGUACAAAGGAUGUCUUGUCACCCUUUUCCUCCUAAAAUCAGGAGAAUGAACCUCCCCUGAAUGACACUUGCCCCCACCCCAAGGAGGAACAUUCCUAAUUAAGGGAACGGCCAACAACCGUAUGAGGUCUUGAUCUUGGUCUCUUCCCCAAAGCCUUCAUCUUCUGUCUGUUCCCAUCAACAGCCCCUUCCACACUCACCUGUUGUUCCACAUCCUGCUUGGGUCUUGCCGGGUCUCUGAGUGUUGGGAUUUCAGUAAGGCCCUACAAGAAGGCCGCACAUGCUCAUCUCCCUGUGGGUCUGUCUUACCUAGCGUUAGAGGUUGCAGGUACAAUUUUGCCUUACCUACCCCCUCAAGGCUAAUCCUUGUCACACUACAGGUUUCCAUUGGGAUGGGGAAUAUCUCUCACUUUCCUUUAGAAUUUGGUGACCAGACAGUUUCCAGGCUCUCAAAUUUGAGACUACAAUAGCCUCAAAAAGGUUCAAACUAUAGCAAGAGUUAAUUUUUUUUUCUCUGCAGUUCCUAAGCAUUCUAAAAUGUGUAUGCUGGUGAAUGCCACAGUGAGUCAGAAGAGACUGGUACUUGUCUACGACAGAAGAAGCCGUUGGUCACUGGUUCAGCUAGCCAUUAGCAGCUAGUUUCAGUGGAGACAAUGGGGGGAAGUAAUAAAAAAGUAGAUUUUGAAAGGUUAAUUACAAACUAAGAAUGCAAAUGGCCUCAAGCAUAAUUUUUUAUUAGGACUGAGGGCACAGCUUGCCUGGCAUACAGAAAGCCCUGGGUUCCAUGCUCAGAAUGGACUACGGCUGAUGGCAGUGGUAUGUGCCUGUGAUCUCAGCACUCUGACAGCACAGGAUGAAAGGUCAGAAGUUCAAGGUCACAUAGUUUGUGGCCUGUCUGGAAUAUGUAGUAGUAAGCUUAAUAGUAAGCAUAAUAGUAGUAAGCUUAGGCUAUAUUUAUAAAUGUUUGAUGGGAUACAACAUUAAUUUUACCUGGUUGUGCUUUUCUUCUUUUUUCUUUAUAAUAUGCCUACUAAGGAAUUUAAAGUUCUGUAGAAUUCUAUAGUUCUGUAGCAUUCUAUGUCCCUGUCACAGCAUUUUUGUUUUAUGGAGUUUGGUGCAGUAACACUCAUCAUCCGAGUUUUCACAACUUCAAAACUUAUCUCUUAAGAGUGAUGGUCUCUGGUCAGCUGACUCUGUACUACCUGGAAGGUCACAAGCAAACCUCCAGCCUCCCAAGCUGCAGACCCACUCCACAGAUCCUGACGUCUGCAGUCCCCGGGUGAGCUAUGCAGGUGUCUGUAGGUUUGAGCAGUUUGACCUCCAUUACAGUAAUUCCAUUUCCUCUCUGUGUAGUAACGUUUCACUACUUUGACUGGGUCAACAAUUCUUAACCUGAAGGACAAGGGGAUUCUGGGCAUGAGGCAGCUAUAGAAUUUCUGUAAAACCUAAUGUCUUGCACGCUGGUAUACGGCCCGACACUGGUAAUUCAUCUGUGGUCCUCAGAGUGGCAGCACUUGAGAACUUGUCAGGGAUGCCUCGCUGAGUGUGGGACCUGACAGUGCAUGAACAAGGCCAUCUGACACUGGGUUUGUGCAGUUCUAAAUCAGGCCGGGUGAUGACACAGGGAGAGCUGCUUGCUGCACCAUCUUAGUCAGUGAGGGGUGGAUGGGGUGGAGAAGCCAGCUGAGGUGACAGGUAUCACUUAGCAUGCUCAACUUCUUGACAACUGUCAGACGGUCAUUAAGUUUUUGAGUCUGGCACAGCAGAUGCAUUAAAAAAAAUGGACUUUGCAGUUAAGCCAACAUGGAUUUGAGACUGAGUUCUGUGACUCACUCAAGCACACCUAGGAUCAUUAUCAAAUCACUUCGAAUUAACCUGUCUAUACUUCCUGAUCUUGACCGUCAGAGAGGGUGCUGGUGGCUAGACUAACGGAAAGGCUUCCUUCUAAUGCGUUAGAAUGCAGCCACUCUGUCAGGGUCCUGUUGCAGGUUUUUAAGCACCAGGAGAUGCGAGUUGCUUUUCUGUCUCCAGGCACAAGGACCUCAUUGACUCAACUCUGGUCUCCGCUGGCUAGAGUGAGACUGUCACUCUGUCUGCACUGUCAUGGGCUCAUACCUGUUACUUAAGGAUUUCUCAGUUGAAAACCUUUCUGAACACAACUGUUUAAGGUCUAGAUUUGGGGUUGGUGUCGAGGGUGUGAGGUGUUUGCUUCUUUGUUUUGGGUUAGCACAGGUGAGCUUGAUGCUUAAUGACAAAGACAAAGUAAAAUAUUGUGUGAUGACUGUUGGAAGUUUCAGUCUCCUACAGGAAGUUCAAGCUGAAACCAGCUCUCUAACUAUGAUUCCACUUCUGGAUGGCAGUGCUGAAACCACACAGAAACUACAUGAAGAAGGGCUGAUGUUAGAAUGAAGGCUGUAGACUGGUAAAACGGCACCAUCUGCCAUUCCCAGUGAGAGCAAGAUGUCCCUGCUGCUCAGGGCUCCCGUCGAGAGCAGGCAUGAGUGCAUGGCUUGCCCUGACCCGUGGAAUCCGAUAUAAAUGUCGAAGUGAAGAGCUGCACAGAAUACACUUAAGUCUCCCCUUGUGUGCACUUAUGUGUACAAAUGUGUGGCCUGCGUAGUGUGGGCACCAUGUGUGUGCCUGGUGUACACAAGAGGUCUGAAGACAUGGCUUCCCUGGAACUGGAGUGACAGAUUCUUGUGAGGGGCCACUCGGGAUAAACUCUGGCCGUCUGCAAGAGCAGUCAUUGCUCUUAACCAGCUCCCGACACUGGCUUCACCGUUACCCUGAGCAACUGGCAGCUGUGUUGUGUCUGGCACCAGUACCUGAACUAAAGCAGGUAUUGACAAGAGUUGUUGGGUUUUUUAAAUACAUUUAUUAACCAAUGUUAACACAGUAAAUGAAAUCUAUAUAUUGCUAGUCAGAGCAGCUUACAAAAUGCCAGAACGCAUCAUAGAACUGGACAGCCACGAUGGGUACUUACAAUGUGCAGAGUGGCUAAACUCAACACCUUGAUAUAGCUUUAUGAUUGCAGAAAAUUUUAAUGAUUCCUAAAACAAUCAAUUGUAAUUUUACCUAAAACUUUUACAAAACCAGGCCACAAUCUCUUUUUUUAAUUUUGUUUUUUUUUUAACACACAGUUUUCACACUGUAGUAACUUGGAAAUGUGCAGCCGUGUCGACAGAGACAAGAAGCCAAAGUAACAGGAACCUCACUUUCAUGCAGCUAUCAGGUAAAUAGUACAUACUCUGGAAUGAUUUCACACCAAAAUAUUCCCACAAUGACUUGCUCUCACAGGGGUGGAUCGACGUCUGACAACCUGGAAACAACCAAAGACUGUCAAGUGUCCUUGUUCAGGCAGCGCAGCAGCAGGGAUGGGAACGGCAGCGAGGAGGGGGCGGUGGUGCCGAGCUAUUGCAGUUGCCGGAAAACCUGGCGGGAGCUCAUGGGCCAUGGGUGGGUUGUACAAAAGAGCGAGCCCGUGUGGCAGUAGUUACACCGUCUGCAAUAGCAUGGGCACCGGUGGAGGAGGUCUCACAGACGCUCCUUCCUUUCAUCUUUAGAGUGACCCUGAUGGACCGGAGAAAACUGUCUUAAAGGCUUUUCUCCUGACUCCUUCACUUCUGUUGUGAGUAAUUGCUUUAAUAAA